ensembl:lncRNA
AUGGAUGGUUUUUGUGGCUGUGCUUCACCUGGGAUGGGGAUGAGGAAGGCUGUGAGGAGGAGUGGGAGGGUGGGAAACAAGGGGCAGCUGUGGCUGGCACAGGACCAGAACUGGGUCAUUCCCAAUUGCUCCUCCUGCAGAAAAUGGGGUACAGGAGGUGCCUCUUUGCUAAUUAUCCUGGUGGAAAGUCAGAUUUUCCUUCCAGUGGAAUUACCUUGGUGGCUGAGAAGUGAAUUUCCCUCAGCUCUGCACUGGUGUUGCAGCUCCUGGUGUGGGAGCAGGAGCAGAGGCUUCCCACACCUCUCCUGGGCUGGGCAUGGAGCUGGAGCUGCUGGGAGCCCCAUGGAAAAGUGGAUCAGGGUGGAAGGAGCUGGUCCUUGGGAAAGGACCAUGGAAGUUUUGGGAAGCCAGCACAGAAGAUUUGGAGCAGCUGGUGGGAGAUUGCCCUGAGUGUUUCCUACAAACUGAAUUUUCCUAAUUCAAGGUGUACAGCACAUCCAGCAGGGUGGAGCUCUAGAUUAGAUCCCACAGAAAGAGAAAAAUUGAUCAGUGUAUGGAAAAUUAGUGGUUGCUCGCUUUGAUCGUGUCUGGUUUAUGCUAAUGGAGAAAAAAAAUAUAUUUACUGCUCUCCAAAAGCUCCAAUUUCACAAUGAGGAAAACAAUCCAACUCCCCAGAUUCCUCCACCCCUCUCCUGUCCCUGAUAAAACACCCAGAAAGUGGCAAGUGGGGUGAUCAGGAGCCCAUGGCAGGGAAUGGAAGUGAGGAUUUCAUAAUGUUCUUGAAGUGUGAUAGGAGUGAAGUUCCUCAGCCCAUUUUCAGGUGGAUCCAGGGCUGCUGCUGCUGCCUCUGUCCUCUCCCUGGGAGGGAGGAGGGUGAUGCUGCUGCCUCACAGGAGGGAAUAAUUUAUCUCCCAGCAGUGAUUAAGAGGCAGUUAAACAGCAGCUCCUCUCAUCAGACUCUGUUAAAUCAGUAAGUCUGCCUAACUGGCACCUAAAAUUUUUAAGAGCCAUCUGAGCUACUCUUUGGAUCGUUAAUGUUUAUUUUUAAUAAGUCCUGGCUUGCAGGGGAAGUUUCAAUAGGCUGGAAGAAAGCUUGUGCUCUGCCAUUAUUUAAAGAGGGUAAAUGGGCUGACCUGAGUAAUUACAAGGCUGUCAGAUGAGCGUUCAAUCAAUAUGUGUUUGAUAGCACCAAAUGUAAGGUCAUCUAUCCAGGAAUAAUGAACGGAGCUGGUGCAGGCAGGAGAGGAGAUCUUAUCCCCCAGCACAAGAGGAGAAUGCUGAGCAGGGCUGGGGAGAAUCCCUCACCCUGGCACGGGGGAGCUCCAUGAGGGGAUGCUGCUGGCCUGCUUUUGCAUCUGCAGUUCAUGAGGAUGCUUGGGAAUGCAGAGGGAAUUCAGGGAAAAUUCACCAGGAUGAUGAGAGGUUUUGCAGUCCACAAUAUAAAACUGGGGUCUGCUUAACCCACAUUAAUUAAUUUUAAUUUCUCUUCAAAAGCUCAUGAACUUCGUGGUUUUAAAGAACCAUCAAAACCUUGUGCCAUCUCUAUAUUUUUCCAGAUUCAUUUCUUAUUUAAUUGACAAAAUUAGUGGCAACAAUAUCUGCCCUGUUUUUCUCCUUUAAUUGUCUGUUGGAGCUUCUGAAUGAAAUUGCUAUUGGAUUUUGGGGACUUGGAUUGUGAAUUAGCGAUACAAUUUGCACGCUGAUGUUGGGUUUGUAAGUUGCUUGUGUUCCAAAAGAAACUGCCAAUGCCUUUAUGAAGAAAAAGACAUUAAAAUCCUGUAGUCCAGUAGGAACUGGGUGUGGAAGGGCUUCUGGAACAGCUGGGUCUCCUUGGGUACUCCCACCCUGGUUUCCCACCAGGAGAUAAGGAAAUGUGGGAAUAAAUGAUGUGGUGGGAAUAAAGCUGCUUUUGAC